CCAUCUUUUGAACUUGUCAAGUUUGGUUUCAUUAAGGCCAUAAAGACAAUGUUGUGUCUUCUUUUUAGUUUUUUGAUUUUAUCAAAGGCACCUUGAGAGGUAAUUCCUCUCACAUUCCAUAUGAGUGAUUUAAUCAUCAAUCACUCUGAUAAGUUGUUGUUUUUUGCCUGUGAUCUAGUCACAACAGAUUGAGAAUUAUAUCCACCUCUUCUACCUCUGUUGUUUCUGCUUCUUCUAGUGUGUUUACUUCUUGGAGAGAGGUUAGUUCUUGUAGCAACAUUUUGAAAAGUUUUCUCAAUUUCCUCCUCAAUAUUAGAGUUGGUGACAGUUUGAAUCAACUUUUCUGCCUCAUCAUCGCUAUCAAUAUUUUUAUCUUCAAUACUUUCACAGUCAUCUGUACUAGAGCCAUCAUUACCUUCUUCCUCUGUGGUUAGAUCUUUCCCUGUGUGUUCACUGAUAUUGUCUUCAUCUUGAUCAGAUGAGUAGUUCUCAUUGUCAAUCCUUUCUUGUUCAGAGGAAAUAGAAUCAGUAUCCUUAUCAUCAAGAGUAUUAUUUUUGUCUUGAGUGUGUCUGUUAUUUUGUUUUUUUUUGUUUGGAAGUAA
rnacentral:lncRNA from 1 species